GGAUUAGAUACCCUGGUAGUCCACGCCGUAAACGAUGUCUACUAGUUGUCGGUUGUCUUGUACGACGGGUAACGCAGCUAACGCGAUAAGUAGACCGCCUGGGGAGUACGGCCGCAAGGUUAAAACUCAAAUGAAUUGACGGGGGCCCGCACAAGCGGUGGAGCAUGUGGUUUAAUUCGAUGCAACGCGAAGAACCUUACCUACACUUGACAUGCGGAGAACUUUCUAGAGAUAGAUUGGUGCCUUCGGGAACUCUGACACAGGUGCUGCAUGGCUGUCGUCAGCUCGUGUUG
rnacentral:rRNA from 1 species